rnacentral:rRNA from 1 species
UACGGGGGGGGCAAGCGUUGUUCGGAAUUACUGGGCGUAAAGGGCUCGUAGGCGGCCAACUAAGUCGGACGUGAAAUCCCCAGGCUCAACCUGGGAACUGCGUCCGAUACUGGAUGGCUUGAAUCCGGGAGAGGGAUGCAGAAUUCCAGGUGUAGCGGUGAAAUGCGUAGAGAUCGGGAGGAACACCGGUGGCGAAGGCGGCUUCCUGGACCGAUACUGACGCUGAGGCGCGAAAGCUAGGGGAGCAAACGGG